GAUGAACGCUGGCGGCGUGCCUAACACAUGCAAGUCGAACGAGAAGCUAACUUCUGAUUCCUUCGGGAUGAUGAAAUUAGCAGAAAGUGGCGAACGGGUGAGUAACGCGUGGGUAAUCUACCCUGUUUUAGUGGGGGAUAAUCCUCCGAAAGGAGGGCUAAUACCGCAUAAUAUCUUCUCCUCUAAAGAAGAGAAGAUUAAAGAUGGCCUCUAUACUAUGCUAUCGCUUCAGGAUGAGCCCGCGUCCUAUUAGUUAGUUGGUGGGGUAAUGGCCUACCAAGACCACAAUGGGUAGCCGGUCUGAGAGGAUGUACGGCCACACUGGGACUGAGAUACGGCCCAGACUCCUACGGGAGGCAGCAGUGGGGAAUAUUGCGCAAUGGGGGAAACCCUGACGCAGCGACGCCGCGUGGAUGAUGAAGGCCUUUGGGUUGUAAAAUCCUGUUCUGGGGGAAGAAAGCUUAAGGGUCCAAUAAACCCUUAAGUCUGACGGUACCCCAAGAGAAAGCUCCGCUAAUUAU
rnacentral:rRNA from 1 species